rnacentral:lncRNA from 1 species
CCUAAUUAUUUUCUAAAUAAAAAAUAUAUUUUUUUACAUUGGAGGUAAUCUCACAAUCAUAUAUAUAAAAUAAUAAAAUUUUAAAAAUAAUUUCUCAACUACAUGCAACCAAAUAAAUUAUUUGCAAUUGCAACGAUUUCUACGAUAUCCAAUCAAACAGGAUACAUGCAGUUGCAAUUGUUAUAUUUUCAACAGCAUGCAUAUCUAACUACGUUGUAUUUAUAAUUAUAUCUAACUAAACGAACUCUAAUUCUUUUAAAUGUUAUAAAUAUCAGAUAUUGUUGUUGUAACGUAUUUAUGACACACGUGAGAAAAGACAUUAAUAACACCAUAGGAGAGUUUGAAAAACAGAGAAGUGUCUACUAUAUAUGGAGCAUUCUUUAUUUGGUGGGUGAAAGACCUCUUUCACAAACUGGGAUAGAGUGGAUAAAAUAUGGUAAUUGACUCAGCAACUAUGGAAGGCUAUACAUUUUUCCUAACUAAGAUAGAGAGCCCAUUGUUUGUUUGCUUUUACAUCCGAUGGUCAAGAUUAUUUUUUAUUUGAUCAUACAAGCCCACUUUUGUAAUUAAGAUUUAAUUGGGACUUUUUAUUUUAUAUAAUUUUUUUUUAAAAUAGUUUGGGAUGUGUGAGAGUUGGUUAAUGAAAAAAGAUUAAAAAAAAAGGGGUUGAAUAUGUGAUGAUUUAAUGUUUCAUAGAAGAGUUUACUGCACUUAAUAAUUGUUUUAUUAUUUUAUCAUAUUAUAAGGAACUUAAAUUAACAGUACGGUAAAAUCAACAUAAAGAGUCCACAAAUCAACUUAAAAUUAAUACGCCAUAUAAGAAUUAAGAAAUUAAAUGUUUAACUAAUUUUGUAAAAUUAUAUUCCUCCUACCUCUAUAAAUAUCGUUUCAGUGUGGAGACCUUCACUCAGAAACACAUCUUCUUCCUACAUAAGUUAAUUUAAGAUAGAAAAGUAAAAAUGAGUUCACUCUCCAGUUGGCGCUUCAUGAUAAUGCUGUUGCUUACAUUGCUGCUAGCAGCAGCAGCUAAGUCCCUAGGUACCAAAAUUCCGCUGGGAUGCUGUUCCGGAUGCUGCCCACGUAUUCCAUAUUGUUGCCGCAUGAUGAACAACACGGCCAAGCCGUAGGAGCCAUAUGGAGGCUUCGAUCGUCACCGCACUUUUUUCUUUUUUUAUUUCAGUAUGUCGCUAUAUAUAUAUAUAUAUAUAUAUGAUGACUGUUUCAUUAUCAGUAACUACUUUAUACUAGUUAGGUACAUACCGAACUAGCUAGAUAUGUAUUGUUGUGUGGUUGUUUGGUCACUAAACUAGCUGGAUCCAUAUCUAGCUAGCUAUAUAUAUAUAUAUAUAUAUAAUUUCGUGUUGUUCUAUAAUUAAUUUUAUGAAACUGCAUAGUAUUAGCGGUGGUGAUAAUUAUGUUAUUUUUAUUAUUUUUUUUUUUGCCCCUGAUUGACACACAUUCUCAACUUUGCUCCGUUCUACUACGCUAUUCCCCUUCUCUUCCAGCUAAAGUAGUGUAUCAUAGCAAAUUUUACUGGUUUACUAAGAUAAAAUUUGGCCGUUUAAAUGAUAAUUGAUACAUUUUAAUUAACUCACAUUUACGAAACAAAAGUAAAAAAAAAGAAAAAAAAAAUUGAGGAUAAACAGGACUGAUGCCAGAGCUCGAGUUAAACUACUAUAUAUGCAAAGAUAAUCACAAAGGAGCAAAUCCAUGCCGAUUCCCCUAAAAUAUUCUAUUAUUAUCACAAAGGAUAAGAAACAAGCGCAAAGUAUCAUCAAUUCAGCCCUGUAUACAUGCCAAUUCCCCUAAAAUAGUCAGAAAUUAUCAGCAAAAUAUUAUUAGCAAAAUUACGAGUUCUACAUAAGAUGGUACAACAAGGAAAUCUAGUUUUGUAACCAAUUCACCACCAAAUACCACCAGAAAAAAAAAAAAAAAGAAGGGAAAAAUUAUAACCUAAUCCACUUUUCCGAUCCCACCCAAAUACCCAAAUCGGAACCGUGGAAUGCCAAAAACUGACACCUAUUUUUGCGAGAGGAGGAGGAAGAAGAAGAAGAAGUAGAAGUAGUGAGGGGAAGGGGGAGGGGCAGAUAGAGGAGGUGGCAGUCACAGGACCUGGCGAUCGGCGGCGUCGGCGACGAGGGGCAACCAGGAGAUUUGGCCGAGGAGGCAGGCGGUGGAGCCGUAGACGAGGGAGACGAGCAAGAAGAAGAAGAAGAAGAAGACGGUGCUGUCGGCGCUCUGCAGGAUCUCGUAGCCGACCCCGUUGCUGGGGGCGAAGGACCGCUCGAGGAGGUCGGGAAAGAUGAGGAGGACGUCGAGGACGAUGGCCUGCAUCGUGUUGAACCGCACGUAGCCGCUGAAGCGGGAGGGGUUGCGCACCACCGCGAAGUAGAGGGUGAGGAAGAGGAGGAAGGGGGUGACCGGGGAGGAGCGGAAGAGCCGGAUCGCGGGGACGAGGGGCAGGAUUAGGGUUUGGAGGAAGGGGAACUGCGCGAGGACGAAGCCCCCGUACUGGACCCCGUCGAGGAAAGGGUAGAGGUAGCACGCGGCCGAGGAGGAAGUGGGUGACCGCGGUUGUAUAAUACCUAAUUAGUUGUAACUACAAAUUAUUUUUGUCUAACUUGCAAAUACUGAAGGCCCAAAAGAACUUACUACUACUAAUACAUUAUAUUUUCAUAAAAUUAGCAUACAUUGAUAUCUAGCUAGGCGUGGGCCUAACUAGUUUAGUCAUCAAAUAAUGCGACAACAAUACAUAGGUACAUAACUAUUUUAGUCCUUAAACAACAACACAACAACAAUACAUAGUUACUGACAAUGAAAACGGGAAUAUUCUCCCAGCAAGAGAGAAGCCCACAAAGCUCUUAUGGCUUUGCAGUGGUGUUGACUUUUUCGCAGCUCAUCGGGAUUGAGGGACAGCACGGGGGAUUAGGAGGAGGAUUAGAAAACACAGUUGUUGUUGCUGUCGCCGCCACCACCAGCAGCAGUAAAAACGUUACCAGGUGCUGCAUUACGACGGAGCGCAGGCUACAGGAGUAAAUCAUUUAUUUUGUUAUCUUAAAUUAAGAACACUAGGAAGAAAUUUUUUUUUUAAAAGAGAUAGGUAGCACACUACCUGUUAUAUUUAGAAAUAAACUUAGCUGGAAAUAUGAAUUAACUAGCUAGAAUUCGAACUUAGGAUCUCGAAUACCAACCAUCAAAUUCUUUGCCACUUAUUCUAGGAACAGUCGAUAACAUUAGUAAGAAGUUGAUUUGUUUUGUGUGUUAAAGUGGCCAAGGUAUGUGGUAUUUAUAGAUGGAGCAUAACUUUACAAUAUUUUGGGACAUUAAAUGAUCGCAGGCUGCACAAUUACUCUUGGACAUUAAAUUGCCCAUGUGUAAUCUGUUCUUUUUCCUUUUUGUCCGUCAGUAGCCUUUUGGGCUCUCUGCCUCAAGAUGGAAAAAAUGUAAAGCCUGCCAUAUAGCUGUUGCAUCAUUUAUCCGAUUUCAUCCACUCUUCCAGUUUGGGAAUGAGCUCUCUCACACUUUAGAUAUAGAAGACUCUUCUUCUCUUAUUUUCAAGUUGGUUAGUCUCCUAAUAAAUUCUCCAAUCUCCAACCACCCCCUAACAAUAUUAAUGCCGAUAUAAGAUAAGAUGGCCACUAGAUAUUCUCCAGCUAGUGGGUGAAUUUGUAUGUGAGCUCCUAUGAUACCGUAAAAUACGUAUAUCUACUGGCACUAUGAGGACUGCGCCGUACCAGCAUGAUCCACAUUAACUGCACUGAAACAAGAAAAGAACCAGUUCAGCCUGAUCCAAUUUUGAAUUCGGAUUGUCCUAGACAAGUUCCAUUUUUUUUGGACGUACAGCCUUGCAUGUCUCCCCGGCAACAACAACACCAUGCAGAUCCUUUAAAUUAAUAAAUCUGAGCCGACUCUUUAUGUUUUUUUUUUUUAUAUAAUUUGUUUAGAAUUAUAAAAAUUUUAAAAGAAAGGACCAAAUUACCUCUCAACAGUCAAAAAUUGGUCUUCAAAAUAUAUGUAAAGAAAUUUAUAUUUCUUUGGAAACUUUUAAAUUCUUUUGUUCUAUCUUUAAUUUUCUUAAGUAUUAUAAAAUAUAUUGUUAUAUAUUUUUAAAAAUUUUUAAAUAAUUUGUCAAUAAGUUUACUAUAUUUAUAAAAAAUAUAUAAAGUAAAAUUAAUAAAAAAAAAAGGUCAGUCCGUGCCUCAGUCGGCACGAAAUGCGCGACUUAUAUUACAUACGGAUCGUGACCGGCCCGGUCAUGUAAUCAAUUUACACCUACAAUCAAUCCUAUGAAAUAAUAUUUAUUUUCAAAAAAAAAUAGCAUGCUACCCCUUUAGCAUGUUAUAUAUUUUAUUUUUUAAAAAAAUAAAUUUAGUUAAAAAUAUGAAUUAAUUAGGAUUCAAACUAAAGACCCCGAAUACCAACCACAAGUCUUCGGCCACUUGCGCUAGGGACGAUCAAGACGAUCAGUUCCUACGAAAUAACGUUAACGAGCUGUUUCCUCGAUGCUGACUUUUGAAACAAUUUAAUAUAUCAAUUCAUUUUAAUAAAAGUUUUCAACUUAAUUCACAAAUUAUUGUAGGUUUUUAGACUAACAUUCAAGCCUAAAAUCUAGCACUACAGACAUUUUCGUAGCGUGGACUAAUUAAUGACUUUUUAUUUUUGGGUCUUUUCUUUGGGAGUGUUUGUAGGGGUGUAAUGUGGGCCGCGUCGGGCCGGCACGGCUCAAAUUUUUUGGGUCAAAACGGGUUAGCCUCCGGCCUGGCUCGGUCCUGAUUUAAUUUCGGGCCAGGCCGUGCUGGGCCCAAGUUCUCUACCCUAUGCACCGGCACAGUCCUUUGGUCCGGAAGGCACGGGCCAUACUGGGCCAGGCCGUGCUUCGGACCGGCCUACUAAAGUAUUUAUUUUUUAAUUUUUUUUAAACAAUUUAUUAUGAAAUUUAAAAAUAUAAAUAAUAAAUAUUUUUAUUUAAAUUAAUAUUUUGAUUAAAAUAUUAAAAACUUAUAAAAAAAUAUUAAAAUGAUCAAGCCCUCCUCCCCAGAAGAUCAGACCCCAUGGCCCAAUGCAAUUUGCCUUAGGCCAUGGGUGCGGACCGGAAUGGCUCGGCUGGCACGACCCAAGCCGGCCGUGCCGUGUCGACCCGCUUGCCUCUACUCUGCCUAGCACGGCCCAAGCCCGUUUCGGGCUGUGCCGUGCCAGCCGGGCUUGGGACGUGCCGGGACGUCGGGCUUCAAAGAGUUGGCCCAGCACGACCAAGAGCCUCGGGCUAGGCCGUCCCGGCACGGGUGCUACAGUACCCGUGCCUUGCUGUAGCCCGGCCUGAGGCCGUGCCGGGCAGGGCAGCCCAUGUGCCGCCCGGCUGUUUUACAUCCCUAAGUGUUUGGAAAGCAAAAAAAAAAUGACAGAAACUCAAUUUUCUUUUAAAACUUUUUAUCAAAUCCCAUCAUGCACAUACCCAUAUUUUUCUAUUUGCAUCAAUAAUUUUUUUUUCUUUUACAAAUUCUCACACUUCUAACUAUAUAAGAACAAAAUUUUUAAGAACUUUCUAAUGUAUAGAAAUGAAAAUCUCAAUUAGAAGUUAAGUACAAAAGUGAAUUUGUACGAUCAAAUAACAGAGAAUCUUGACCUUUUGAUUUAAAAAGUAAUUAAGUUGUUGAUAUUUCAGGCUUGAAUUUUUAAAUAACAUGAAUGGUAGAUUAUACAGUCUCACAAUGAGGACGAUCAUGUACAUUCUCAUACAUAAAUGAAGUUGAAUGAGAAGAUUAGUUGUUUGGAUUAGUUCACAGAAUUUUGACCGUAAAAUAUAAUAUAAUCCGCGCGGCGAAUCUUAAUGCAGAAGGGGGCAACCUUUAGCUUCAAUUCCUGGAGCUGUGGGGCAAAUAGCUAAGGGGCAAUGAUCACUCACAGCUUGCCCCCACCAGCCGAUCCCGUUGAUGCCAUUGAACUGGAAAAUACUCCCCAGCAAGGCCAUUAAUGCAACGCCGCAGGUGAGCGCGCUCGACAACAGGUAGUUGUAUCUACUCCACCACGCUCUCCACCUCCUAUACACCACAUAGUUGAAGAAAAACGCGACGAUAAACCAUGACCAGUAGUGCACAGGCUUCGCGAACGGCAUCUGCGUGGACGCUGCAAAAAUCAGCGGAACAUUGACUUGCCUGAUCCAUUCUUUUUUAGGAAAUACGCGCGAGAUGAUCCAAACCAAGACCGUCGCGGAGGCACCAUAGAGGAAGUAGUAGUAGAGGCUUGAGUAAGCGCUUAGGGAUCCGAAGAUGCGUGCCGGUCCAAUCACAGCCCAAAUGUUGAUGCUGCUGUUGAUUGCUGUUUGGCCCGGGCACGUCCAGGGGCUCCCCACUGGAAGCUUAUCGAGGUCGCAAAUGCCAUCGACUGUUGAAAGGAGCCACCAUGCUGUCGCAAAGUCUACCGAGCUUGCGAUCACCGUGCCGACAAUCUGCACGAGAGAUUGCCAUGUAUUAUCAUGAAACUUAUAAGGAGCGCAGAGUUGAAGCUGUUCGAUUAUGGACAUGUAUGUCUUAUUUCGAAUGUGUUUGGUGAAAUAUCACUGACCCAAAUAACCAAAUAACCAAAUGAUACUUUAAAAACAUAUAGGAAUUACCUGGACGAUGAACAUUGACCUCGGAGGGAUCUUCAUGUAGUGGCCAAACUUGAAAGAUUUUAGGAAAUUUAGUGCAAGUCCCAUGCAACUCGUAGCAUAGGAUUUGAAUGCAAAUGUUGCCAGGGGCUUUCCAGGAUACAAGUACCCACUAGUCAUUUCUGAAAUAAGAGCUAGAUCUAUACCCUGCAAGAGAGAUAGCUAAUUCGUAAUUUGUUCAGGUAUAUACACGCUCAUUAAAUAGUAAUGCUUUAUAUUAUUAUUUACCUAUCUUGUUUUCUUUUAUUUGCAUAAAAGAGAGACAAAUGAAACAUGACAUAAAUCACAUACGGACCAGUACACUUAAGUAAUUGCAAAAUAUGGAGAGAAACUAUAGUACUAAACCAAAUUAUCGGGGAAUUAUUGUAGUUACAUGCAAUGCAUGGGAUGCUUCAAUCAGGUUUAAUUCUGACUAUUAAAUGCACUUUCAAUUAAUACCCACACACACCUCUCUUUUUUUUUUUCGUGUGAAUUUCUGAGCCGGUGUUGGAUCCAAUCAUCAUGUCAUAUUAAUUAAUUCUAUGAGAUCUUAAACUUACCAUGCUUGUUGUAGCCUCGAGAACCCCGAAAGGUAGGAGGAGAAUAAAAACCAUGGCGCAUGCCAACAGGAUCCCCACAAAAGGAAGUUGGAAUUGUUUCCCGAAUCCUUCAACUGUUAGUAUUGAUAAACCAAGCAUCAUUAACAGUAGGACGAUAAACCACGAUUGCGGGAUGGACUUGUAGUUGUUCUUCAUCAAUCGAGUGUGAAUGUCAUCCGAUCUACUUGAACUCGAACUUGCUUGUUUGUACUGUCGCCAUAUCGACCUGCAACGACACAGAAUUCGCAUAUCGAAGGCAUAACUUGUGACUGCAGGAGUCGUCAUUUAUCCCAUAUACAGCUCGCAAAUAUAAAGCAUGCAGAUAAACACUUUUACCAUCCACUUUGACAAGAUAUACACAUAUAUACAAUUAGUCUAUUAUAUUAUUAAUAGUACUAUGUACUUGGUACUAUUAAAUUUUCGGUCCUUAGAUAAAGAGAUAUUCGGUUAGAAUGGUAGUAAUCUUUUAAAAUUGAGUGGGUGAUUGAUUUAGUAGUAUGAUCUAACGGACGAAAAUAAUCAAAAUGGUAAAUCUAACGAUAAAAAACUCUAUAACACCAAGUACAUAGUACUAUUAAUAAUAUAAUAGACNCUGGUAUGCUUCUAGAAGCAUGGAGCCCUCUGUGUGUGUAUAUAUAUAUAUAUAUAUCAUUAUUCAGAGACUAUUAUUAGUCAUAUCCUCAUGAAAAUUUGCAUCAAAAUGUUCCACUAGUGAAGAUACUCGUAGAAAAACUAAUAAAUAAUAAUUGAAGAAUUAGCAACAGGCAUAAAAAUAAAGAUAUAAGAAAAAUAAAAAAAAAAUUUUAAAAAAACUAUAAGAAUAAUAAAAUUAUAUUUAUAGUAAUAAUAAAAGUUGUGGAUUAAAAUAUCAUAUGAUCUCCAGUAAGAGCCAAAAAUCGCACCUAAUUAAAGUUUGAGAACUAAAACGUCAUGUACCUUAUAAUUUGAGCAAAAAAAUAUAACACAUUAAAAUUUGAGGACUAAAAUGUUACGAUUCUUAUAGCUUGAGACCAAAAGCAUAAUUUACCCUUUUUAUAUUUUAGAAUAUAUAACUGUUAAAAUUAUAAAUCGACCAAUCAUAUUUUGGAUAUUUUAAAAGAUUUUAAAUGUGAAAUUGAUCGAUCAUCGGACUAUAAAUAUGGCAUUAAAGUUUGAUAUUAAAAUCAAAACAAAAACGUAUAGAACUUUUUAGAACUAUGAACUAUUUUGAGCCAACUAUCCAACCUUUCAAAAUUUUAUUUUUACUAUCCAAUCUUUCUACAUAUAUAUUAAAAUAAAAUUAUACUUACAAUAUCAGAAAAAGUUAAGGAUUAAAAUAUCAUAUGCCUUAUAGAUAGAGUCAGAAAUUUCAACUAAAUAAAAUUUGAGGUCUAGAGUGCCACGUGCCUCAUAUUGUUUGAGCAAGAAAAUAUAACGCAUUAAAAUUCGAGAACUAAAGUAUCACAAGUCUUAUAAAUUGAGACCAAAAACGUAAUAUACUUUUUUAUAUUUUAAUUUUAUUUCAGAAGGAGACAAAGCUCUUUACGAUAUAUUAAACCAUCUAAUAAAUUUUAGAAUGUUUAAUUGUUAAAAUUAAAAAUCGACCAAUCAUAUUUUGAAUAAUUUAAAAGAUUUUAAAUAUGAAAUUGAUCGCUAAUUAGAUUAUAAAUAUGGCAUUAAAGUUUGAUAUUAAAAUGAAAAUAAAGAUGUAUAGAAUAUUUUAGAACUAUAAACUAUUUUGAGUAAGCUAUCAAACCUU